rnacentral:rRNA from 1 species
CAUUUCUUAUUGAACUUAAUAAUAAGUAAAACCUGCUCAAUGUAAAAUAAAUAGCCGCAGAAUUUUUACUGUGCUAAGGUAGCAUAAUCACUAGCCUUCUAAUUAAGGGCUUGUAUGAAAGGUUAAACAUUUAAUAACUUUUUUUACUUUAAUUCUUAAAUUAUAUUAAAUAUAAAAAUAUAUUUAUUUCCUAAUUAGACGACAAGACCCUUUUGAACUUUACUUAAGUUUAGCUGGGGAAGCUAUUUAAUAAAUAUUUUAAUUCUUUUACUUAAAUUCAUUGAACCUAUAGUAAUUGGGAAAAGGAACAAGUUACCAAAGGGAUAACAGCGUAAUUUCUUUCUAAAGCUCUUAUCCAAAAAGAAGAUUGCGACCUCGAUGUUGAAUUAAUAUCCCUUAUAUAAUGCAAUAGUUUAUUAAGGAGGUCUGUUCGACCUUUAAUUUAUUAC